rnacentral:lncRNA from 1 species
GAGCAAGUUAAAAAAAUCCUUGAAGCUUGCAGGCUCGACUUCGGGAUUUUAGGCCUACGGGAAACUAUGCAUUUUUCCCUGUUGAGCCUAAUUCGUCGAGGACUUUAGAGUUCUACUUGUUCUCCUCUUUUAUAGAGAUAUCCUUCAUGAUGGUUUUCGCGUCAAAGGGGCAGCGCACACAUGGUGUGUAGAGCCGCGCGCCCAUUUGUGCAUGAUGGG